CUUAAGUGAUCUGCCCAUCUAGAUCUCUCAAAGUGCUGGGAUUACAGUCAUGAGCCACCGCGCCUGGCCUCUAAAUCAACACUGCUUUCUAACAAAGCUAAGAUCUUAAGUAAAUGAAUAUUCAGCUAUAUAGCAUACGAAGUUACAUCAUGUCCCAGGCUCUUCCCAGAUCAGACUCCCAGGUAAGGAAAUCAUUCCAGAAUUUAGCCAGAAAACUUGGCGAGAGAACAAGUGCAACCUGUAGGAAUACAUUCAUUCCAAUCAACAUUUACUAAGCACUUAUGAUGGUGAGGGUUAGCCAUAAAAAGAUGAACACUGAGGAGCUCAAAAACUGAGUGUUGGUGGUCUGGGUAGCAAACAAACCUGUCCUGUGCUUCAGAGGAAGGGAAUCUCUAGAAUGGAAGUACAAUGUGCCAUGGAAACGAGUAAUAAGUUAUGCUAAGCAUUAGGAAUAAAUAGGAUUUAGGUAAGCAGCUUUCCACAAUGUGGGGAAGAACAACCACAACAAAUCCAACUAAAGGCAAAGCAUGAGCAUGAGCUGAAAAUGAGACAUUCAAGUUAAAGAGUCCAGCAAAGUGAAAAGAGCUCUGAGAAUGAAAAUUAUCAGCAUAUAUUUCAGACCAUGCAUAUAGCUGAGAUUGCUCAGGACAAAAUGUAAAAUGUAAGGGGGCUAAAAAUAAAACUAUUACGGUAAGGACCUUUAACAUCUAAGGUACAAUGUUAAGUGGCCAGAGAGGCACUAAGAACAACUUCACAUCAAUGGUGUUGAGUUUGAGAGGCCAAAUGGACAGGUCUACAAAUCGAUCUUUAGUCAUCUGCCGGAAGAGUGUCAUUGGAAAGAUGAGGGCAGAAUCUGGCUGCUGGGGUCUGAAAAGCAACUGAAAGAAAUUGAGUGAAAAUAAAUUCAGAGAGAAAUUUAUAGGAUGGCAUGCUCUUUGUUCUGAGGGAGAAACUUUGAGACUGAACCUACAGGUGAAAGACUUAAAGCCUAGUUAGCACAAUGGGAUAUACUUGGAGGAUUCAAAAUACUUCAUGAAGAGCUAGGAUGACCACCUUUGGAAUUACUGCACCCUGCCCACCAUAUUUGGUUCUUGCAGAUUCUUGUUCAUUUGAUUAUGAAUCAGCUAUGAUGUAAAUAAUUG